rnacentral:lncRNA from 1 species
GCGUUUCUGUGAGUGUUACAUUUCAAUGUUGUGUUUCUGUUGUGCCGUAGUUCUCUUUUAUUUGCUACGUUUCCUUCAGUUUUAGUUUGUAACCUGGAUUUGUUUUUUCAUUAUCGAUUUAUGAAUUUCGAACAGCGGUAUACUUCUGUUGCCUUUAUUUACACGCUGCAUUUUUUUCUGAUGUCAAGCGGGUUGUUUAAACGCAAGUACAAUGUAAAUUGGUUAAAGC